rnacentral:rRNA from 1 species
CAUGCAAGUCGAACGAGCGAGAGAGAGCUUGCUUUCUCAAGCGAGUGGCGAACGGGUGAGUAACGCGUGAGGAACCUGCCUCAAAGAGGGGGACAACAGUUGGAAACGACUGCUAAUACCGCAUAAGCCCACAGGUCGGCAUCGACCAGAGGGAAAAGGAGCAAUCCGCUUUGAGAUGGCCUCGCGUCCGAUUAGCUAGUUGGUGAGGUAACGGCCCACCAAGGCAACGAUCGGUAGCCGGACUGAGAGGUUGAACGGCCACAUUGGGACUGAGACACGGCCCAGACUCCUACGGGAGGCAGCAGUGGGGAAUAUUGCACAAUGGGGGAAACCCUGAUGCAGCGACGCCGCGUGGAGGAAGAAGGUCUUCGGAUUGUAAACUCCUGUUGUUGAGGAAGAUAAUGACGGUACUCAACAAGGAAGUGACGGCUAACUACGUGCCAGCAGCCGCGGUAAAACGUAGGUCACAAGCGUUGUCCGGAAUUACUGGGUGUAAAGGGAGCGCAGGCGGGAAGACAAGUUGGAAGUGAAAUCUAUGGGCUCAACCCAUAAACUGCUUUCAAAACUGUUUUUCUUGAGUAGUGCAGAGGUAGGCGGAAUUCCCGGUGUAGCGGUGGAAUGCGUAGAUAUCGGGAGGAACACCAGUGGCGAAGGCGGCCUACUGGGCACCAACUGACGCUGAGGCUCGAAAGUGUGGGUAGCAAACAGGAUUAGAUACCCUGGUAGUCCACACCGUAAACGAUGAUUACUAGGUGUUGGAGGAUUGACCCCUUCAGUGCCGCAGUUAACACAAUAAGUAAUCCACCUGGGGAGUACGACCGCAAGGUUGAAACUCAAAGGAAUUGACGGGGGCCCGCACAAGCAG